rnacentral:rRNA from 1 species
GACCAACGCUGGCGGCAUGCCUAACACAUGCAAGUCGAACGGACAGAACAGGGAAGCUUUUCGGAGUGGAACUGGAAAGUUAGUGGCGGAUGGGUGAGUAACGCGUGCACAACCUACCUUGUAAAGGGGAAUAACCUCGAGAAAUCGAAGCUAAUACCCCAUAAUAACCUUGCUUCGCAUGAAGUAAGGAGGAAAGGCGGCCUUAGCGCUGUCGAUACAAGAUGGGUCCGCGUCUGAUUAGCUAGUUGGUGAGGUAAAGGCUCACCAAGGCGACGAUCAGUAGCCGGCCUGAGAGGGUGAACGGCCACAUUGGGACUGAGACACGGCCCAAACUCCUACGGGAGGCAGCAGUGGGGAAUCUUCCGCAAUGGGCGAAAGCCUGACGGAGCAAUGCCGCGUGAGUGAAGAAGGCCUUCGGGUUGUAAAACUCUGUCCUUAUCGAAGAGAGAGUGUUGUAGUAACUGACAAUACUAGGACGGUAGAUGAGGAGGAAGCCCCGGCUAACUAUGUG